rnacentral:rRNA from 1 species
CCUACGGGCGGCAGCAGUGAGGAAUAUUGGUCAAUGGCCGAGAGGCUGAACCAGCCAAGUCGCGUGAGGGAAGACGGCCCUACGGGUUGUAAACCUCUUUUGUCGGGGAGCAAAGCGAGUCACGUGUGACUCAUUGAGAGUACCCGAAGAAAAAGCAUCGGCUAACUCCGUGCCAGCAGCCGCGGUAAUACGGAGGAUGCGAGCGUUAUCCGGAUUUAUUGGGGUUAAAGGGAGCGCAGGCGGAGGUGCAAGUCAGCGGUCAAAUUGCGGGGCUCAACCCCGGGACUGCUUUGGAAACUGUGUAACUGGAGUACAGGAGGGGCAGGCGGAAUUCCUGGUGUAGCGGUGAAAUGCGUAGAUAUCAGGAGGAACACCGGCGGCGAAGGCGGCCUGCUGGACUGAAACUGACGUUGAGGCUCGAAAGCGUGGGGAGCAAACAGGAUUAGAUACCCCAGUAGUC